CCAGCUCCAAUAGCGUAUAUUUAAGUUGUUGCAGUUAAAAAGCUCGUAGUUGGAUUUCGGGCGGUGCAGCCGGUCCGCCCUUUGGGUGUGUACUGGUUCGCGCCGUCUUCUCGGCGAGGACGCGCUCUCGUGCUUUACUGCGCGGGACGCGGAGUCGUCACAGUUACUUUGAAAAAAUUAGAGUGUUCAAAGCGGGCUUACGCUUGAAUAUAUUAGCAUGGAAUAACACGAUAGGACUCCCAUCCUAUUCUGUUGGUCUUUAGGACGGGAGUAAUGAUUAAGAGGAACAGUUGGGGGCAUUCGUAUUUCAUUGUCAGAGGUGAAAUUCUUGGAUUUAUGAAAGACGAACUUCUGCGAAAGCAUUUGCCAAGGAUGUUUUCA
rnacentral:rRNA from 1 species